UCCGUUGUGGACGAACAGGGGUAGAAUUGUAAUUUCGCCCCCAGUACUUAUUUUAUUAAUUAUUAAAGCCACCACUACUGAUAUCUACUCCUUCAACUCCUCUCUUCCUUACGAAUUGUAGGAGCUACCAGAACAUCAGAUCUAUUCACCCUCGCUUCACCUUCUCCGCUUCUGACAUCGGUACUGCUCCUCAAUACAGACCAUUCUCUUAAAUUUCUCUGCUUUGGUUCGAGUUAGUCUUCGGUGGUGUUGUAUCAGUGAGUUACAGUAACUUAUUUUCCUUCUUUUUCUUUCUAAACAGUACCAGAGCAAAGUGAGAAUCAUAUAGUAAUAGUAAUAAUUUUAGCGAAAAUUUUGAGGCUAUGAUGAUGAUUUUUUGUUCUUAGUUUGUCUGAGCAAAGUUGAUUAGGGUAUUGGGAUGCCCCGACCCGUAUCGUGGCGGGCCGACCCGAAAACCGGUGUUUGCAGCCAUGUUGGUGAUUUUAGUCUCUCUUUGCAGGACCGUGUUCUUCAAGAUUCUCAUCUAUAAGUUCGCUCCAUUUACAGAACCUGCAAAUCGGUUUAGUAAAGGCGUCUGGACAUACAUUAUUUGCAAAAACCGAAAUACUGUUUGUAAAUCAAUGUGUGUGUUACGAGUUUAUCCACUAUUUCAACGAGCCUGAACUAAAAAAUUAUAGCUUUGUGAUCAUUUCAGGAGCUAAACAGUGACGAGUCACAUUCAAAGGUGAUAAAAGUUCCCAAUAACAGUCCCAAAUAGUUGGCCCAGGGUAAAUUGGUGUUUAUGAAUGAGGUAAAAUUAAAGAGGUAGCGCCUCAUAGAUCCCUGUUUAUCAUGGUAUUUCUAGAACAAAUGAAAAUGAACCAUUUUACAUAUUACUUUCUCCAACAAUUUUGAGUCAACUUUCCUGAGUUAAGAGUUAAUAUUCAAGUCAACAUGGUCCCUGUAUGAGACUAAAUUGUGUGCUUGAAGGAAACUAUAAUGCUUUGGCAGCAUUAUGUCAAAUGGAGGAAAAAUAGUUGCUGAGAAUUUAGGAGGUCACUCGAUCUCUUACAAUAAAGGAAGUUCAACUCUUAGGAUUGCUAACGAUUUUCAUCACCUGGACGAGAUUUCAAAUUGGAAGGAAGACUUAAAUCAGAUGAAUGAAAACGUCACCCUGUUGACUUUGGAAGACAUAUUUAGUUUCUAGAUUUUUAAUCUCUGCAGUUACAUAGGUGAUUGUACUAACUGUCCAGGUUAUAGCUCAGCGAAGUUAUUAUGCUACUCAAAGCCUAUUCACUGUACAUAGGCCAAUAUUAGCUUUCAUUUUCAUAGUUUAAAACUCUUGCAGCUUUGGUUUUAGUAUCUUAGAACUCAGUCUUCUACUAGCUUUAAACUUAGAUGACUAUCUGAUGGAAUAAAAGUGGGAAGAGUUCAACCAAGAGAA